rnacentral:tRNA from 1 species
ACAAGAAUGCCAGAUAAUUAUGGGAUUGAUUUAGGAUCAUUUUAAGACUUUUGUCUUCUUGCG